CCUGGUGAUUAUCGUGAGGGGGAAACACCCGUUCCCAUUCCGAACACGGAAGUUAAGCCCCUCAACGCCGAUGGUACUGCCUUUUGGUGGGAGAGUAGGUCGUCGCCAGGU
rnacentral:rRNA from 1 species